GGGUAUGAAGGAAGGAAAGUGAAGUGGAAGGUAAAACGUAAUGUCAGAAUUGCCGUUCGGACGUAUCUCUUUCGCCGGUAUGGUUGAUUGCCGUUAUGAACCAGCCCCAAAAACAAAGCUGCAAAUUAUGCGCCAGUGGCGGUACCACGAUCAAAGCACUCCCUGAAUCACAUUAGCCGAGCCAGCUGGCGGAAGCAUAUGCAUAAAGGUUACUAGGUUACUAUUUUCAACGACAACUGUUUAUUUAUUAUACUGCUUCAAAUACCUUCGACGAAAUCAAAUGUAACCAUACCAACUGUAAAUUACGAACCACCUGUUAACUCCACCAUCUUGGGUAUGAAGCUGAGACCAAGGCACCUAAAAGUAUAUCGUAAGGUGAGGCCGUUUCGUCACUAUGUUGGUAGUGGAGCGGUAUAUGAAAACAGUACGGAAGAAAGCAGAAGGGGAAUUAUUUGCUUGAUGCGUGAAAGAGACAGACUGAUCACCAGCGAGCUUGGGCACAAGCGUUUACAAACAAAACAUAGUAGAUUUCCAAGAUGGCUGAAGAGUGGUUCUGGCAAAUUGGCUCACCUUGGAAUAUUCUUCUAGGCGCCUUGGCUGAGACUUAAAAGCUUAUAUUUUGACAUUUCAUCGGGAACGACCGAUGAGAAGGAAACAUCGAAAACGAGCACCGCAACAUUUGUAGUUGCGCUACACUUUGCUAUGAAACACAAGGGCUGCAUAGAAUAAUUUAAGAUACAGAGUUGCCGCUUUUACAGAAGGCUUCGCAAUCGAAAACAGUGGAUGUUAUGGUUUUCACGAUUAUAGGUUGGAUAUCUGGAAUCUUACUUUCAAUUUAUUUUCAGCUGAAGUUCGACAUGUAGUGUUGGUAUUUUUGAAUGUCAUAUGCGUAGCAUGGAAUAAUAUUUUGCGCUACUUUAUCUCAGACUUAAGUGUACGAUUUUAAAUAUUUCCCACAAUCCAAUCGACGAAAAAAACAUCGACCUGACAACGACCGUAACGCUGUUACCUAUUCACGAUGACGACGAUUAGGUAUCGUCAUCUGGAUACAGCAUUAGUUUGUAUGAGGCAAACUAUUCUCUAUCAUAUUAGUCGGCCCGAAUCAGUUUAUAUUUGCUAAAAUAUGUAUGAAAUUGUUUUCUUUGCAUAUUUUUUUCUACUUAAAGUACGUUGUCAUGACCCUAAUUUGAAUUAUUUUCUAUAGACGUUCAGAUAUUCUCAAAAAAAACUUGUCAUUAUAAUAUAAAAUUAUCUCAAAACAUAUUUUUUAUGACGUUUUUUCACCACUUGCAGGCAAUGGUGAUUUUCACUUACAUAGAGUACUAAUUUGAUUAAGGAAAAAUCAUGUUCAUUCAUAAUUUUCAUUUUAAAAGUGUAUUCAUUCCUUCUGCAAAUCCAUACUGUCAUGCCUAUUCCCCAAUAUCGUCAACGCGGAUAGUUCGUUAGUCGAAAAUACUGAAUAAUUAAACAAACCAAAUGGCAUCACUGGUGGUUCUUUUAUCCACUCCGCUAAACUGUCAUCUCAAACAAAAACAAAUGGAUCAUACAACUGCUAUGAAUACAUUCGACUCGUUUGUUUCCAUCAAUCGCAGCCAACAACAUCUGUUUUCCUACAGCAGUAACCUCCAACCCCUGUUGGCAAUGCCGGGGGACAGCAUCAACAGCAGCAGCAGCAGAAUUUGACCAUGGUAUGGUAUUGCGAAGAACUUUCCCCAUUAGAGGUUCCGUGCUUCGCGCACAUUCAAAAAUCCUCUUCAGACACGAAAACUCAACGACAAGGAGGUAUUUAUCAACUUGCUCAGCUGAAUUACCACCCGAAGAAACCCGAAUACACUGAUUCCGUUGUAUAGUAGAAUGAAAAUAGGCGAGGUAAGCGAACGUAAUCGCAUGAUAUUUUAAUGUUCGCAUUUUUAUCCGGAUCAUACAACUGCUAUGAAUACAUCCUCAAUCAAUCGGCGAGUGAGAAAGAUGAUUUCCCUCAUCACCACAUUGCUUAUUUCCACUUCUGUCACACCAGCCAACAGCAUCAGCUUUCCCGCAGCAGUAUCCUUUAAGUCCAGGGUGCUAUUCCGGGGAACAGCAUCAACAGCAACAGCAGCAGGACCUGGUCAUCGAUAGUAUUUCGAGCAAUUUUCCCCAUCGGAGAUCUCGUGCUUCACGCACAUUGAGGAAUCCUCAGCCACAUAUCUGUGUCAUCAAGGGCAAGGAGGUAUUCAUCAAUGUACUCAGUCGGAUUUGAAUCGUCAAUCCAGACAACCCGGAUGCACCGAUUCCAUUAUAUACCUUAUUUUUAU